rnacentral:rRNA from 1 species
AGUGAACGCUGGCGGUAGGCCUAACACAUGCAAGUCGAACGGCAGCACAGUAAGAGCUUGCUCUUACGGGUGGCGAGUGGCGGACGGGUGAGGAAUACAUCGGAAUCUACUUUUUCGUGGGGGAUAACGUAGGGAAACUUACGCUAAUACCGCAUACGGCCUACGGGUGAAAGCUGGGGAUCUUCGGACCUUGCGCGAUUGAAUGAGCCGAUGUCGGAUUAGCUAGUUGGCGGGGUAAAGGCCCACCAAGGCGACGAUCCGUAGCUGGUCUGAGAGGAUGAUCAGCCACACUGGAACUAAGACACGGUCCAGACUCCUACGGGAGGCAGCAGUGGGGAAUAUUGGACAAUGGGCGCAAGCCUGAUCCAGCCAUACCGCGUGGGUGAAGAAGGCCUUCGGGUUGUAAAGCCCUUUUGUUGGGAAAGAAAAGCAGCAGGUUAAUACCCCGCUGUUCUGACGGUACCCAAAGAAUAAGCACCGGCUAACUUCGUG